AUGAACCCGGUCCGUCCACCAUCUCCCAGGAUAUCUAGUGAGGCUGUCACCUUAUCUGUUUAUUAGAUCACAUCCCUUUCCUGUUUCUUCUUAAUCUCCGUUACCAAAUUAAAUACAAUCACAUAAACAAUGAACAUGCACCCGGUAAUACAAUUAUAUCUUAAAUUCUAAAAUCACACAGUGGUCAAGUAAGACAGUAAUACAUGCAUUUU
rnacentral:lncRNA from 1 species